GGGAUACCCCCUCGAAAGGGGGGCUAAUACUGGAUACGUUCCUCGGGUCGCACGAUCUGGGGAGGAAAGGUAGCUCGCAAGGGCUGCCACUCGUGGAGGGGCUCGCGGCCUAUCAGCUAGUUGGUAGGGUAACGGCCUACCAAGGCGAUGACGGGUAGCUGGUCUGAGAGGACGACCAGCCACACGGGGACUGAGACACGGCCCCGACUCCUACGGGAGGCAGCAGUGGGGAAUCUUCCGCAAUGGGCGAAAGCCUGACGGAGUGACGCCGCGUGGGGGACGAAGGCCUUCGGGUCGUAAACCCCUGUCAGAGGGAAAGAUGGGUGUCGGCGUGCACAGCGCCGGCAUCUGACGGUACCUUCAGAGGAAGCCCCGGCCAACUCUGUGCCAGCAGCCGCGGUAAGACAGAGGGGGCAAGCGUUGCUCGGAAUUACUGGGCGUAAAGGGCGUGUAGGCGGAGCGGCAAGUCGGUCGUGAAAGCCUCCGGCUCAACUGGAGAACGUCGAUCGAUACUGCCGCCCUUGAGGGUAGCAGAGGAGACUGGAAUUCCCGGUGUAGCGGUGAAAUGUGUAGAGAUCGGGAGGAACACCGGUGGCGAAAGCGGGUCUCUGGGCUACUCCUGACGCUGAGGCGCGAAAGCGUGGGGAGCAAACGGGAUUAGAUACCCCGGUAGUCCACGCUGUAAACGAUGGGCACUAGGUGUGGGGGGGGUUUAGCCCCCUCCGUGCCGCAGCUAACGCAUUAAGUGCCCCGCCUGAGGGAGUACGGCCCGCAAGGUUGAAACUCAAAGGAAUUGACGGGGGCCCGCACAAGCGGUGGAGUAUGUGGUUCAAUUCGAUGCAGAGCGAAGAACCUUACCUGGGCUUGACAUGCCGGAAGUAGAAACCCGAAAGGGGGACGACCUGUUAAGUCAGGAGCCGGCACAGGUGGUGCAUGGCUGUCGUCAGCUCGUGCCGUGAGGUGUUGGGUUAAGUCCCGCAACGAGCGCAACCCUCACCCUAUGUUGCCAUCAGGUUAUGCUGGGCACUCUUAGGGAACCGCCGGCGAAGAGCUGGAGGAAGGGGGGGAUGACGUCAAGUCCGUAUGCCCCUUAUGUCCAGGGCUACACACAUACUACAAUGGCCGGUACAGAGGGUAGCCAACCCGCGAGGGGG
rnacentral:rRNA from 1 species